GCCACGCUCGUGACUACAACCUCCACGGGAUCUCCUCCGAGCGCUGCCCCAACAUGGCUACUCCAGACAAUCAUCCGCACGCCCCGUCGGCUUGGCACAGAUUGGGCCAUUUACUCUCGGGACUCCCUUUGGUCUGGUCGCUGUAGUUGGAGGCCUAUUAUCAGGGUGCUUCACCAGGGUCGGCUUUCCAUUGCAUGAUUUUGUGAGAUCUUCAAGCUUCUAUAGAGAUUUUUGUUGAUAUGUGAGAUGCAAAAUUAGGUGGAUGGGAAUAGUUCAAGGGCCUGAUGGCUUAGUGGAUUCUGUACUGAGUGCUCAACGUGAAGUAGCAGCAUCAUUUCGCACAAACACACUAUUGAUUGAGAAAUAUUUUACUCAACCAAGGCACAUAGAAGUCCAGGUAACAUUGUGAUAUCAGUCCUUCAACAAUGCUUCUCUCAAUCUGCAUAGAUCCUCCGUUGUGUAAGAGCUUUGGACUCAUAUUGGUGAAGGUGCUAUGUCUGUUCCAAAGGUGACAUACUUGAUACUUGCAUGUUGUGAUUUAAGAAAUUGAUUUGAUGUUCUUAUGUUUGUUCAUCUCACUACACUGCGUCGAGCUAUUUGUUUGUUCCCUACACAUAAGUAGCAAAUUAUUCCAUAUAUUUAGUGCAUUUCAAGAUAUAUUAUAUACAAGUUGGUGAUGGUGGUAGGUCAGUUGGUCUCUCUUUCAUCGCCGAGCGGAAACACGGGCAUUGGCCUCUCUUUCAUCGCCACCUCGAGGGGAUACAAGUUGAUACUGACAAUGCCAACGCCCAUGAACAUGGAGAUGAGAUUUCUGCUCAAAGCUUUCGGCGUCAAACUCGUCCUUACAGAUGCAGAAAUUCCGAACAAGACGCUUAAGUCUUGCAUGCUCUAGCAGUUUAACAACCCUGUUAACCCAACCGUAACAAGGACAUACAACACAUGUGUCGAGGCACUCAAGUUGUGUGUAACCUGCUUGCUCAUUUUCACUCAGGUAGAAAUCUGGGAGGAUUCGAAAUGGAAGGUGGACAUAUUCAUUGGUGGAAUCGGGGCAGGUGGGACAAUAUCUGGUGUUUGUCGUUUCCUCGAGGAAAUAUCCCGAUAUCCAGGUUACUGGUGGUGAGCCUACUGGAAGUUACAUACUCUCUGGUAGAAAACCUGGUCCACAUAAGAUUGAGUGCAUUGGAGUGAGAUUUCUUCCUAGGAGUUUGGACGUGAUGUUUUCAGUGAAGUAAUAGAGGUAGCUUAUUUUAGUCUUAACAUUUCUUGUACAUGAUGCCAGGGUGUAGGAGAUCACCACAUAAUGCCUUGUAUGAAAUGCCAGGGUGUAGAAGAUAGCAUGAUAAUGAUGUAUAUGUUAACUAACUUAAGCUAGAGUGGAUGGUGUGGUGCUUUCCUAUUUUGGUCCCUUCCAUGGCCGAAUUAUAAUGUACAAAGAAUAAAAUUUGCUUCUAUUUUUUCUUGUGGGAAUACACCUGAUUAGUUUGUA